rnacentral:rRNA from 1 species
GACGAACGCUGGCGGCGUGCUUAACACAUGCAAGUCGAACGGAAAGGCCCUGCUUUUGUGGGGUGCUCGAGUGGCGAACGGGUGAGUAACACGUGAGUAACCUGCCCUUGACUUUGGGAUAACUUCAGGAAACUGGGGCUAAUACCGGAUAGGAGCUCCUGCCGCAUGGUGGGGGUUGGAAAGUUUCGGCGGUUGGGGAUGGACUCGCGGCUUAUCAGCUUGUUGGUGGGGUAGUGGCUUACCAAGGCUUUGACGGGUAGCCGGCCUGAGAGGGUGACCGGCCACAUUGGGACUGAGAUACGGCCCAGACUCCUACGGGAGGCAGCAGUGGGGAAUAUUGCACAAUGGGCGGAAGCCUGAUGCAGCAACGCCGCGUGCGGGAUGACGGCCUUCGGGUUGUAAACCGCUUUCGCCUGUGACGAAGCGUGAGUGACGGUAAUGGGUAAAGAAGCACCGGCUAACUACGUGCCAGCAGCCGCGGUGAUACGUAGGGUGCGAGCGUUGUCCGGAUUUAUUGGGCGUAAAGGGCUCGUAGGUGGUUGAUCGCGUCGGAAGUGUAAUCUUGGGGCUUAACCCUGAGCGUGCUUUCGAUACGGGUUGACUUGAGGAAGGUAGGGGAGAAUGGAAUUCCUGGUGGAGCGGUGGAAUGCGCAGAUAUCAGGAGGAACACCAGUGGCGAAGGCGGUUCUCUGGGCCUUUCCUGACGCUGAGGAGCGAAAGCGUGGGGAGCGAACAGGCUUAGAUACCCUGGUAGUCCACGCUGUAAACGGUGGGUACUAGGUGUGGGGUCCAUUCCACGGGUUCCGUGCCGUAGCUAACGCUUUAAGUACCCCGCCUGGGGAGUACGGCCGCAAGGCUAAAACUCAAAGGAAUUGACGGGGCCCCGCACAAGCGGCGGAGCAUGCGGAUUAAUUCGAUGCAACGCGUAGAACCUUACCUGGGUUUGACAUGGAUCGGGAGUGCUCAGAGAUGGGUGUGCCUCUUUUGGGGUCGGUUCACAGGUGGUGCAUGGCUGUCGUCAGCUCGUGUCGUGAGAUGUUGGGUUAAGUCCCGCAACGAGCGCAACCCUUGUUCACUGUUGCCAGCACGUUAUGGUGGGGACUCAGUGGAGACCGCCGGGGUCAACUCGGAGGAAGGUGGGGAUGACGUCAAGUCAUCAUGCCCCUUAUGUCCAGGGCUUCACGCAUGCUACAAUGGCUGGUACAGAGGGUGGCGAGCCUGUGAGGGUGAGCGAAUCUCGGAAAGCCGGUCUCAGUUCGGAUUGGGGUCUGCAACUCGACCUCAUGAAGUCGGAGUCGCUAGUAAUCGCAGAUCAGCAACGCUGCGGUGAAUACGUUCCCGGGGCU